GAUGAACGCUGGCGGCGUGCCUAAUACAUGCAAGUCGAGCGAACAGAUGAGGAGCUUGCUCCUCUGACGUUAGCGGCGGACGGGUGAGUAACACGUGGAUAACCUACCUAUAAGACUGGGAUAACUUCGGGAAACCGGAGCUAAUACCGGAGAAUAUAUUGAACCGCAUGGUUCAAUAGUGAAAGACGGUUUUGCUGUCACUUAUAGAUGGAUCCGCGCCGCAUUAGCUAGUUGGUAAGGUAACGGCUUACCAAGGCAACGAUGCGUAGCCGACCUGAGAGGGUGAUCGCCCACACUGGAACUGAGACACGGUCCAGACUCCUACGGGAGGCAGCAGUAGGGAAUCUUCCGCAAUGGGCGAAAGCCUGACGGAGCAACGCCGCGUGAGUGAUGAAGGUCUUCGGAUCGUAAAACUCUGUUAUUAGGUAAGAACAAAUGUGUAAGUAACUAUGCACGUCUUGACGGUACCUAAUCAGAAAGCCACGGCUAACUACGUG
rnacentral:rRNA from 1 species